GGAGUGAAAUAGAACCUGAAACCGUGUGCUUACAAGUAGUCAGAGCCCGUUAAUGGGUGAUGGCGUGCCUUUUGUAGAAUGAACCGGCGAGUUACGAUUUGAUGCAAGGUUAAGCAGUAAAUGUGGAGCCGUAGCGAAAGCGAGUCUGAAUAGGGCGUUUAGUAUUUGGUCGUAGACCCGAAACCAGGUGAUCUACCCUUGGUCAGGUUGAAGUUCAGGUAACACUGAAUGGAGGACCGAACCGACUUACGUUGAAAAGUGAGCGGAUGAACUGAGGGUAGCGGAGAAAUUCCAAUCGAACCUGGAGAUAGCUGGUUCUCUCCGAAAUAGCUUUAGGGCUAGCCUCAAGUGAUGAUUAUUGGAGGUAGAGCACUGUUUGGACGAGGGGCCCCUCUCGGGUUACCGAAUUCAGACAAACUCCGAAUGCCAAUUAAUUUAACUUGGGAGUCAGAACAUGGGUGAUAAGGUCCGUGUUCGAAAGGGAAACAGCCCAGACCACCAGCUAAGGUCCCAAAAUAUAUGUUAAGUGGAAAAGGAUGUGGCGUUGCCCAGACAACUAGGAUGUUGGCUUAGAAGCAGCCAUCAUUUAAAGAGUGCGUAAUAGCUCACUAGUCGAGUGACACUGCGCCGAAAAUGUACCGGGGCUAAACAUAUUACCGAAGCUGUGGAUUGUCCUUUGGACAAUGGUAGGAGAGCGUUCUAAGGGCGUUGAAGCAUGAUCGUAAGGACAUGUGGAGCGCUUAGAAGUGAGAAUGCCGGUGUGAGUAGCGAAAGACGGGUGAGAAUCCCGUCCACCGAUUGACUAAGGUUUCCAGAGGAAGGCUCGUCCGCUCUGGGUUAGUCGGGUCCUAAGCUGAGGCCGACAGGCGUAGGCGAUGGAUAACAGGUUGAUAUUCCUGUACCACCUAUAAUCGUUUUAAUCGAUGGGGGGACGCAGUAGGAUAGGCGAAGCGUGCGAUUGGAUUGCACGUCUAAGCAGUAAGGCUGAGUAUUAGGCAAAUCCGGUACUCGUUAAGGCUGAGCUGUGAUGGGGAGAAGACAUUGUGUCUUCGAGUCGUUGAUUUCACACUGCCGAGAAAAGCCUCUAGAUAGAAAAUAGGUGCCCGUACCGCAAACCGACACAGGUAGUCAAGAUGAGAAUUCUAAGGUGAGCGAGCGAACUCUCGUUAAGGAACUCGGCAAAAUGACCCCGUAACUUCGGGAGAAGGGGUGCUCUUUAGGGUUAACGCCCAGAAGAGCCGCAGUGAAUAGGCCCAAGCGACUGUUUAUCAAAAACACAGGUCUCUGCUAAACCGUAAGGUGAUGUAUAGGGGCUGACGCCUGCCCGGUGCUGGAAGGUUAAGAGGAGUGGUUAGCUUCUGCGAAGCUACGAAUCGAAGCCCCAGUAAACGGCGGCCGUAACUAUAACGGUCCUAA
rnacentral:rRNA from 1 species